AUUAGAUACCCUAUUAUUUAAUGAAAGGUAUAUUAUUAGUAGUAUGUUUGAAAAUUAAUAAUUUUGGCGGUUAUUUUAUUUUAUUUAAAGGAGCUUGUUUUUAGAAAUGAGAAAUUGCUCUUUAUAUUUUAGUUAUUUUUUGGGUUAUUCAUCUCCGUUAUAAAAUAAAUUGGUUAUUAAAAAUAAUUUAUUUAGUAUUUCAGGUCAAGAUGUACCUUAAGUAGAUUAAGAAUUAGCUACAGUUGGUAAAAGGAAAAGGGUUUUAAAAUUUUAUUAAACUUUAAAAGGUUUGGGUAAAGGUAAUAUACUUUCUUUCUUACUUUUAUUUUUUUAUAAAAUUUAUGGGAAAAAGAUUUUAUUGAAUUUAGUUGUAAUAGUAAUUAUGAGGUUAUUAUGAAAAAGGUAGAUUAAUGUACAUAUCC
rnacentral:rRNA from 1 species